rnacentral:rRNA from 1 species
CGACGAUGAAGCCCUUCGGGGUGGAUUAGUGGCGAACGGGUGAGUAACACGUGGGCAAUCUGCCCUGCACUCUGGGACAAGCCCUGGAAACGGGGUCUAAUACCGGAUAUGACCGUCCAUCGCAUGGUGGAUGGUGUAAAGCUCCGGCGGUGCAGGAUGAGCCCGCGGCCUAUCAGCUAGUUGGUGAGGUAGUGGCUCACCAAGGCGACGACGGGUAGCCGGCCUGAGAGGGCGACCGGCCACACUGGGACUGAGACACGGCCCAGACUCCUACGGGAGGCAGCAGUGGGGAAUAUUGCACAAUGGGCGAAAGCCUGAUGCAGCGACGCCGCGUGAGGGAUGACGGCCUUCGGGUUGUAAACCUCUUUCAGCAGGGAAGAAGCGAAAGUGACGGUACCUGCAGAAGAAGCGCCGGCUAACUACGUGCCAGCAGCCGCGGUAAUACGUAGGGCGCAAGCGUUGUCCGGAAUUAUUGGGCGUAAAGAGCUCGUAGGCGGCUUGUCACGUCGGUUGUGAAAGCCCGGGGCUUAACCCCGGGUCUGCAGUCGAUACGGGCAGGCUAGAGUUCGG